UCCAAAUUGGGAAUGGUUUAUGGAAUUGAAAACUAGAUUCAAAAUGCUAUAAAUCAUCAGAAGAAAUGGUGUUCAAAUUCUUUUCACAAGAGGGAUGAAAUUGAGCCACAAGAUGCAGCUGUAUAAUUUUCUCGAGUAAACAGGUGAAGCAAAUCAGUCCACUUUGCCGGUUCGCUACGGCUCACUCAAAAUGAAUUAUUAGGGGAAUUUUAUACCGUUGGAAAGCUCUUGGUGUCUAGUUUCAAAUGCAGCAAAUGACACUUGAUUUUAACUUUUGUACAAAGAUUUAUGUGCAGUCAAAGAGCCCCUGGUCGGCUGGCCUGGCAAC
rnacentral:lncRNA from 1 species